CUUGAGGAUUCUUAUUUGUUCUGGAGUAGGAAUCCACCUGGUACGGCUUCGCCAGAAAUCCAUGUUGGCACUACUUCCAGCUGCUUGGGUGUUUCCUCCCUCCUCUGUUGGUUGCUGUUGUUGUGGUUCCAUUUGUUGCGGGGUUUGGAGCUCCAUUAGUUGCAGAGUUCGUGGCUCUUGGGUCAUGGGGUGAGAGGAUGUGGAAAUCGAGGAAUACAUGGUUUAGUGUUUGAGGGAGAUUUUGUUAGAAGGAUUGGAGUUGUUGAACUGGUGAUUGGAGAUCUGAGAUUCUCAGAGGAAAGAUGAGAUCGAAUCUUCAAAGGGAAGAAAAGAUCUGAGAAAGAAGGAUUAAGGAUUUGGAGGAAAAGAUUGAAGAUCUGAGAGUGAAAAACUGGGGAUUUGAGAAGAGAAAGGCUGAAGAGUUGAGAGAGAAAGGCUUGAGCUCGGAAGAAAAUUUCUUUUCUUUUGGAGUGAACAGUUUUUCCCCAGAAUGCACCUAUUUAUAGAACAAGGUGAGCAGAUCUCCACCGUUGGAUGAACGAUCUCAGAAUUUGAAUCCACGCGUUGGAUUAAAGUCAUCCGAAAACCCGGAAAAGUUGUUGGCGCGUGGAGAGCGUGUAAGGGGACAGGCCGAACCUCGAGAUGCUGUGGCAGACAGCUUUAGCCGAAAGCAGAUUUGACUGCCGUAAAUCACGGAAGGGAUAAGCCGUGACACAAGUGGGCCGUACUUGGGCCUGUCUCGGAUCAAGGCAUCACUGUAGCUGUGGGUGGAGGCCUGAUGGGCCGAGUUUCAGAAACAGUUUUGGACAUGAUGGGCCGAGUUUCUGAAACAGUUUUGGAUGAGUUGGGCCGAAUUGUUGAAACAGUUGAAACAGUUGGUUUAAAUAAAAGGAUUGGUAUGGAUAAUAACGUGAGCAGCCGUGCUCGAGUGGUUGAGUGUACAGUUCGUGUACAAGAGGUCUGAGGUUCGAACCUCGCCUCUCGUUUAUUUUUAUUAUGUUCGUUUAUGACAUAAUAAGUAUAAAAUUUGUACACAUUAUAUUAAGCACAGCUUGUGCUCCAGUGGUUGGGGGACAAAGGUUUCGUGCGGCAGGUUGAGGUUUCGAACCUUGCCUUCCCCGUUAUUUUAUUUAUGUCACUUAUGACAUAAUAAAUAUAACACGUGAGCAUAUAUUAAUGAAGGCAGCUCUUGCUUCAGUGGUUGGGAGCAAAACCUUCGUGUUCGAGGUCGGGAGUUCGAACCUUACCUCUUACAAAUAUUUUUGGAUCUCGUAUAUGCUUGAUAUACGGACGUAUAUACGGUAUGUACGGUAUACAUAAGUAUAUACGGUCUGUACGGUAUGCAUACGUAUAUACAGUUGUACGGUAUGCAUACGUAUAUACGGUCUGUAUGGUAUGUAUACGUAUAUACGGUAUGUACAAUUUCAUACCGUAGCCGAGCUGGAAGUUGGUGGGCCGAUUGGUAGGCCCAAAUAGUAAGCCCAAAUAGUAAGCCCAAAUGGUAGGCCCAAAUGGUAAGCCCAAUUGUUCGGCCCGAAUAGUAGGCCCAAAUGUUAAACCCAAAGUGGUUUGGGCCGGUUCGAAAUGUGGAUGGUCCGAUUUCUUCAGGCCCAAUUGGCCAGCCCUAGUGCUUAGCCCAAGGAUUGAGCAAGCCCAAGUCAUCAUCAUUGGGUGACAUAAUUUAUUGGCGUGCUUUUGGGGAUGAUUUGUUUUGAGUGAUGCAUCUCUAUGGUUGUGAAGAGUGGUGCAUGCUUAAGUUUUACUAUGGAGAUUUACCGUGAUGCUAAUUGAGUAGCGAAACACUUUGUGGGAGUGAUUACUGUGCUUGUAUGCCAGUACAGAGUGAUGAUCUAUGUGAAGAUCUAUGUGAUGAUCUAUGUGAAGAUCUAUGUGAUGAUCUAUGUGAAGAUCUAUGUGAAGAUCUAUGUGAGGAUCUAUGAGAUGAUCCAUGUGAUGAUUUUGUGUAAUUGAUGUGGAGUGAUGUUGAGCAGUUGUUUUGUGAAUUUACAUUGUGAUGAAAGGAUUUAGUGGCCAUAGAAAUGUAUUUUUAUACAAAGGGCUGAGGCUUUGUAGAUUACUACAGAUUUGGAAAAGAUGGAGAUUCUAUGGUUAGGUCAACCUUAAUCGAGAGGAAUUGACUUACGCUCAAAUUUCGGGACGAAAUUUCUUUAAGGAGGGUAGAUUGUAAUACCCGCAAUUUUCAUUUUCGUUUCAUGAAUUAGUACGAAAUGAUUAAAGUGAUUUUGCACGAAUAUUACUCUAAUUAAUUCAUCUUUUUGAAUUAUCGAAGUCCCGAAACUUUUCUUUUUAACAAAAGCUCGGAUUGUGCGAUUCAAGAAAAAUCGACUUUUCUACGUACGGAAUUUUGGAAAACUUCCUUCAUGAAAGUUGUAGAGCUCGUCGAUACGAUCGCGUGCAUAUGUGGAAUGCAAUUUUCGGAGCUCGUAUGAUUAAGUUACGAUUAUUUGAAAUUAGGGAUUCUUUUUGAAAUAGAAAAUUAUAUUUUCUUCUUUCUUUUUUCUUUUCCUUUCCCUUUCCCCGGUCCCUCCUCUUUCUUUUCUUUCUUUUCCUUUUCUCCCCAUGGUGCGCACUACCUCUCACUCUCUCAUCCAUCAGUUCAUGCAACACUAGAAUAAUAUCCAAUAUUUAUUACUUGGUAUUUGAUUUUGAGUUAGUGGGUGUCGGUGGCAAUCAUCCUUUCAUCACUUUUCUGCUUCUUCUUCUUGGAUUCCAUGGGGGCAGCAGCAACAAGCAGCCCAUUAGGCGUUGUCUACCGCAGAAUAAAGAAAGAGAAGAGCAAAGAGUCUUUGCUUUAAUUGCGAUGAGACUUACCCAGAAGGUCACUUUUGCAAGAAAACAAUUAUGGCCAUUCUUGAGGCACCGGCACCACUCGAUACAGAUCGCACUACCACCUUCCUGUCUUCUCUUCCUUCUCCAUUCUCUUCUCUCUCCACUGAGAUUGCUUGCUCGGUCUAGUCGGCCACCGAGUUGACUCACUUCCUCGUCCUCCAGAGCAAGGAGCUCCAGUCCGUGCUCGAAGGAUCCGAUUCGAAGUUCGUCGACCUGUUUGUAAAAGAUUUGAGGUUUUGGUGUUUGAGAAGGGUUUGAGUACUGUGGGUGAGUGAGGGACAGUUCAGAGGUCCAAUCCAGUUAUAGAGUAAUGCUUUGGCUGCUUUGGAAGCUAUUGAUUUGGAUGUGGCUGAGGAGUUCUGCAUUUUUGGGAGGACUUCGGAUCUGUGGAGUUGAGAAAUGAGAGUGAGGGAGUGAGAGUUCGGUGGAGCUUGCAGAUUUUGAUGUUAAUGUGAUGAUGAUGUAGGUGAUGAUGAUGAUGAUGUGGGUGGUGAUGAUGGUAAUAAUGUAAAUGGAUGCUACCCUUGUGCUGCCGGAAUUGGAUGCAAACUCAUUUUGGCAUGAUGACAGAUUGAGUUACAUGAGCAUGAGGGCCAUGAGGUGCAGCAAUCAUCGAGUUCAUGACCUUGGCAAGAUUCGGGAUAAGGUGAUUGACGGUUUGAGUUGGUGGACGAUUGUGGAUCGUAUUUUGAGCUGAAUUGAAGACGCAGCGGGAUUAUCGAGCGGGUAAUCCUACAGGACAGGAGAACCAGGACGGUGAUCGUGCGGUUAGAGCAAUUGUUAGAGUUUUACAACAAUUGUAAGUUGUGAGGUGUGUUAUGCUCAUUUGAGCUUUAUAAUAUAUUGUGAGAGUGAAUUGUAAUAA